rnacentral:tRNA from 1 species
GCCUGGCUGACUCAGUGAUUAGAGCAUGUGACUCUUAAUUUCAGGGCUGUGAGUUCAAGCCCCACGUUAGGUG